rnacentral:snRNA from 1 species
AUACCUUUCUCGGCCUUUUGGCUAAGAUCAAGUGUAGUAUCUGUUCUUAUCAGUUUAAUAUCUGAUAUGUGAGUCAUUGACUCACACGAUAUUAACUUUAUUUUUCUAGGGGGAAGGUUCAUCACGAUAGCUUGCUAUCGGGACCUUCAAGUGUCGUCUUGGUGUUGCACUGCUGCCUUGGCCUGGCUCACCCCAC